UACAGAGGGUGCAAGCGUUAGUCGGAAUUACUGGGCGUAAAGCGUGCGUAGGCGGUUCGUUAAGUCAGCUGUGAAAGCCCCGGGCUCAACCUGGGAACUGCGGUUGAAACUGGCGAACUAGAAUCUGGCAGAGGGGGGUGGAAUUCCACGUGUAGCAGUGAAAUUCGUAGAUAUUCGGAAGAACACCAGUGGCGAAGGCGGCUCACUGGCCCGUUACCGACGCUCAGGCGCGACAGCGUGGGGAGCAAACAGG
rnacentral:rRNA from 1 species